AAAACCUCCUGUACUCUUCGCCUGUUGGAAUUGGAUUUAGCAGCAGUGACAACGAAAACACACUAAGUCCGCUAAACGUCGCCAACACUCCUCGUAUUUUUAUGACUUCUCCACUGUCUCUGCGAUCCUACUCAACACUCGAAGGAAACUCAUCGCCUGCUAGCCCAUCACCAGACAACAGCCCUUCUAAAUCCCAAUCGCCUGUUAAACGUAGGAGAAUGCUCCAUUGUGACACCCCGUCUACAUGCGCACAAGAAAGCAGCGGACAACGAAAAACAAA